AUCUUGUAGCACAUUGUUCCAGUAUAACCUGAUCCCUUGAUGUCUCUGGAACUGUUCAUCUUGCCUGGAAUGCGCUGGGACAGCCGAGGUUGCUCAGAAAGUUUGUCAUUACAGCACUUCACUUUCCAAGGAAUGGAUUAGUUUUCUUUUGUCCCUUAGUAAUUGUUAAUUAUUACACACUAGCAGAAAAUAUUAGGUAAAGCAAGGAUGAUGUAAUUGAUUUAUGGUUUAUUUCUCUUUCUUCAUUCUGGAUGCACAUUUUCAGAUGAACAAAAGUAUUCUGAGGUGAGGUCACAGACUUUUAAUUCUGCAAGAUGAGUAUUUCAGGCAGAGGCCAGUGUUGACUAAGACAGCAUCAGAAUAUGACUUUGAGGACAACAUAAAGCCCAAUAUAUAAGCAGAAUUCUUCCCCCUAACCUUUACAACUGUGAUAUUUUUAAAUGCUCAAGCACAGGUUGCUAAUUCUACUGUUGACAUUUAUGGGUUAUUUCUGGGCAUACUGCAUCACUAUCCUGUCAUGAUGUUUCAACCAACAUUGAAUCAACCAAACUUUUGUAUUAACAUGCUUCAGAGUAUUAUUCAAUACUUACAUUAAAUUGUGUUUUUACCAUGACUUAAAGAACACAGUGCUUGAUAUCUAAAAGCUUUAUUUUAUGGUAAUGUUACACAUUCAUACUUAUUUAUUGUUCCCAAAUGCAGUUACAGAGGAUGAGGAAAGGCAAUCAGUCUAUCCUAAAAUAAGUGGUACUGCAGAGCACAGACUGUGCCCAGCCAGUGUUUGGUGUGGUAACGGCUGUGAAGAAAUGCUCACUGUUUUGUGCCUCUGUUUAGUUGUCAUGACACUUGUAAAAGAAAUGUACCUGGACAACGUGUUUCCUUAAUAUAGUCAAUCUCUCGUUCUCACUCUUGUGCAGCCAGGCCCCACCCCAGAUAAAACAAACCACUUCCUUCACCAUGCUCUAUAUAAUUGAACUUUAUUUAUCAAAAUCCCAGUAAUAUGAAAAUGAGUCAUAUUUCCCAUGUGAAACUUUUUUUUUCCAUGAAACUCUGCUAAAUUUGAAUUAAUUAUACCAUUUCUUAAUGAAAAAAAAACCUAGAUGCAGGUCCUCCUCCAGUGGCAGUCCUCUAGUGACAUUCCAUACCCUUUAUGUGUUGGGGUGUUGGGGUUUUUUCCUAUUAGCCAUUACGUAUGGGCUUCUUUAUUUUUCCUAUUACUCCUGUGAUUUUGGACAGUAUCAUCUACUAUUCCAGCUCUUGAAUGGAAGAGUAUUUAGCUUCUCUUUCUCCAAGGGAUUGCAAUAUCAGUCCACCAACUUCAGUGAAUUUUGCAGCCAUUUAUUAGCCAAUAUUAUUGGACACAUUCAUAGGACUCAUCCUUUGGGAAAGGAUGUUCAGGAAAGCAGGAAGGGCUGAAGACUGGAUAGGCAAAUCUGUGCUUUCUAUUCUCAUCCCUGUCAAGAACUCAUUGUAUUGCACGGGACAAAUAAUGCAAUCUCUCUCUUCCUCUAUUUCUCAACUAGAAAAUGAGUAAGCCAAUAUUUGUAUAUAUCAGACAACUAUGGAGCUUAGAUCAGAGCAGUAGAGGCUGCAACCUGAAUUACUCUUACAUGUACAAUAAUUAGGUUAUUAUAUUAUUGUUUUUUACUUUUCAGGCAGUCAUCAGUUAAUAAUUGCAGCACUCCUUUCAGGGAGGGAGAUUUGCAGGCAUCAAGAGUAGUUAACUACUAUUUGACAGAAUAUCUUUACAAAGACAACAAACAACUGUCCAGAGGCAGCAGGAACUAAUGCUGUGAUACAAAUGUGCCUGAAGUUUGUCCUAAAAGGUCAUUACUAUUGAAUUUUAUUUCCAAGCAACAUAUCUCCUCAUAACCUCAACCAAAGUAAGUGGAAAAAAAUCAGGUCCAGAGUGAUCUAACAAGGGAGCUGUUGCUUUCACUGACUCACCAUGACUAUAUCUAGCGAUUUCAAAGGAAAGGGAGAAAACGCUAUUGCAGACAGGUUAUGAAAUAAAUGACCCUUUAAAGAUCACUUCCUUAGAAAGAAAUUAAAGUUUACAAGGGAAAGAAACUUUCUAACCAAGCUUACUCAGUUUAUGGUUGCUUUUUAUACAGAUAGGAAUUAAGCUAAUGGGUUAUGCACUGUCUACUGCCUCAUUCUUCAUGUAUUUGCUUAGCUAAUUUCCCCCUAAAAAUAUUUUGUCAUCCAUAAUAAUUUUCCAUGUAUGCCUUAGAUAAUAAGAUGUUAUCAUAUUAUUUACAGAAUUACUUGUUACUACUUUUCUUGGGCCCUUGGCAUGAUUAUGUGAAUACGUGAAUAUCAACAAAACUGACCUAAAAAGCAUAAGAUAAUAUCAAAAAAACAACCAACCAACCAACCAAAAAAGCCAACAAACAAAAACAAGCAAAAAAGAAGCAGCCCUUCAAUGGCUUUAUAUAGUCAAAUAGCAAAAAGGUAAGGAUUUUUCUGGAAACAUUUUUUUCCAGAACUCUGUCCUUAAAUUAUUUCAUUCUUGGGUUUUGUACUCUUCAUUUUAAUCUUAUUUUUCAUACCUGCAAAGCAGAGAAGUCAGCUAAGUCAUGGCAACAUUCUGGGAAGGAAGCGGUUAAUAUCCAUGAAGAGGAGUAAGAAAUGCUGUGUUCCCUUUAUAAAGGGCAAUUCCUCACCCACAUGGGCAUUUGCAGCUCAUAUGGAUCAGGUUUCCAAAUAACCCACGUUUUGAGUCUGGAACAAACAAUAAGCAAUAUGCAGAAUUGAACCAUCCUCAGCUGUCGCUGUGAUGGACUGGUGGCUUAAAAAGCUGCUGUUCAUUUCCGAUGUCCAUUUUUAUCAGACCUUUUCAACUGGUACCUGAACAAAGAAAAGGCAAAAGUUUAUAAGAUCUUUCCUAGAGGAAAAGUUUCAUUUAGCUGAAUAUUAAUUUUAUAUUGCUGUCCAGCUAUAGCAGAAUAAUUUGCUUUUGCUUGCUCCCCACACUCUGCACACACCCAGCCAGGAAGGGACUCUACAAAACCUUCUCAACUUCUUUGAACAAGUAAGCAAAGCUAUGUCACUGGGUGGCUUUUCUGCUUAACUAAGAGACACUUCACACAACAAAAAAGUGAAGUCAAGGACUUUGCACCACAAGGUCACUGUCCCUUGAUUUCAGCCAUAUUAUCUAUGUGAAAGGAAAAUGUUUUGUUCUUCUUAGUCCUUUCAUUUGGGGACAUUUACCAAGUGUUGCCUUUACUCUUUGGUUUCUACUUAACGUUCUCCAACAACCUCAGCAUUCCCAAACUUUGGGAAGUCCAAAGAUCUACCAAAUCCAGACCUAAAACCAUUUCCAAGUUUUAUUAGUUUGAUGUAAAAAAAUAAGUAAUCCUUGUUUUUAGAAGCAGCACACCCAACUAACCUCACUGUUAGGACUGUUCUGGGUUUUGCGAGCCAUGUGGUUCAAAUCCGUUUAUGUGGGGUGAAGGCUGGACAGCUUGUGCCCACUUUCCUGCUGGGUGAUACAGCGGAUUAGAUAAGUAAUAUAAGUGUGUAACACAGGAACUUGCAAGUGGCAAGGAUUUUUUCAAAACAGUUAAAACAUCACCCCCUUUUACUUGCUUCUCGGUCAAUACACAAUUUCACACACAAAGGACAUCGUGCACUCAGGUUGGAAAUCUGUUUGAGAGAGUGUUGGGAGAAGAGAUGAAUGACUGCCUCAGGCAUGAGCUUCAGGGCAUGGGCAUCCUUAUGCUCCAUGGUGUCCUGCAGUGCUAAUGAGAACACCAAAUAUCAUCCCACUGUUACUUUUUAAAACACAUUAUUCUUAAUACUAUGUGUUCCCACCCAAUUGUUUUGCAACAGAAACUUCUCUUCCCAUUGCUGUUUCCUCUGGACUGUAACAUAGAUAUUAAUUAAAAUAAAGAAGUUGCAGUAGGAGAAAACGAUGACUUUAUUUCUCAAAUAAAAUUUAUUUCCUUAACAGCAGAUGAAUUCUGACACUGAAAUCAUUCACACUGGAACUGUAUUUUCCUCCUUCUGUGAAAAUGCUUUUCUUUUUCCCAAAUCCUACCUGCCAUCCUUCCAUAACAGGAACUUAAUUUAAAGCCUAACAAAGCAACUUCCCUGUAUCUCAAAAAAACCCCAACUGCUGAUGGACAAAAUGGACCCAGGCACUGGUGAACAUGGUCUGAUGAAAGAUAAGCUCAAAACAAAGAGCCUCAUCUAAAUAACCCCCAACUGGCAUGAAUUAUCAUCAUUACAUUCAUGCAAUAUUUGAUACACAUGAACAGAUGGGAAAGAAAUCCUGCCUUUUGCAUGCUACAACUCAAUGUGCUUUGGAGCAUUCACUAAAGCCAAUGUGAGCAGUUUUUAUUGUGUUGUGUUGGAAAGCUGUUUAGGACAGCCAGUAACCAGGUGUCUGUUAAUUGAAAGUACAUAAUAAUGCUCUCAACUAGGUGCAUGUUGCUGCACUUGCAAAUAUAGCAUGGAGAUCUUGGACCUUGGCAGCCAGUGAUGAAUUUCCUGCUGUUAUAAGCUCUCUGACAGUUUUGCCUGUGCUUUCUAGGACAAUUUCCAAAAAAACUGAGUCAGAAAAAACAAAAAAGAGCUGUGUUUCUGGAGAAGAUACCAGCUUGAGGAGAGUGGUUCAUCAUGGAACAGCAGGGUUUGGAGAUGUGAGUGGACAGAGCCAACAAGAGCUAUGUGACAUUGAAAAACUCCUGGAGAAACAAGGUGACCCAUGGGCAGUACAGGCGGAACAGAAAAGCUUUUAAGACACGUGAGAGAAAAGGCCAAUUGUGAAGAAUGCCAACCAAGUGCAUCAUACAGCAUUUUGUAAACCAACACUUCACACAUGUAAACCUCUGCAUAAAUGGACUUGCACCUUCUGAGUGAUUGAGGAGCAGAGAAGAAUAGAUGAACUCUCUUUCAGCCCAAUUUAAUUUUUGAGAUUUAUUUGACCUGAGGACAAUUUGGCAUAAAAUACGCAAGAAAAGUGCAGGAUGUGAUUGAAGGUUAUCAAAAAGGAAAAAGCUCUCAGAGAAGUGUGGACACAAGGCAGUGGCCUUCCAAAUUGCCACACAGUUGUUCAGGCAGCUGGCAUUAUAACACCACUAAGCAACUACUUUGUGGCCCUAAACCCAGUCCCAAGAAUAACAGGUUACGUGAGUAACAAUGCUUGCCCACACAGGAUCUUGCAUCAUGGACCCAUCCUUCUCUAGAAUCUGCAGCAUGGUGUGGCAUGUGGAAAGGCCACAGUGGCAUCCACCUGAUCAGAACUGCCUGCAAAAUGGCUUUCUCCAGCCCAUGAAAAUUUAAAUUGGAGACAUUGUCCUGUUCCUUGACAAAUAACUUUUGAAGAUUUUCUAGCUUGUAAUGCGGUCACAAAAGUACAAAAGGUGUUUUUGGGACGACUAAUAACCUGUCUUACCACUAGUGUCCAUACUGACAUACUGCUCACCUCCCUGGGCUUGCUCAGCCGUAGCAGUGGACGAAGGGUCCAACCUUUGCCCAUUCCUGUUUCUUGGUGGCAGAUGGACCUGUCUACUUGAACAGAGACUGACUGCAGAAGCUGCAGCAAUUUUACAUUUCGGUCAUCUUUAUCCAGUGCAAUACUUUCCUUUCUGAACAUUAACAAAUCUGUAUGUGCUGAAUAAAAAAGGAGGUAAAAGUCACCUGCCUGGAGUGGGUGUAAGGGAUGGCAUGCCCUGUUAGGUAGUUAGAGUUGACCAGAGGUAGCUGUUGAUAAAGAGCUGCUCCAGGUCCUGUUCUCCUUCAUGGCCAGGAUCACAAGUUCCAACUGUGAACUCCUGAUGAUCACUUCUAACUGGGGAAAAAUUGUACCAGUCACCAAGCAUAUCACGUUUGUCAAUGCAAACCUGUCUACAUAGCACAGACCUGUGCCCAGGAGGCAAAGCAGCUGAGUUGAAAAUUCCAUCAGCAUACUGUUGAGCCUGAGAUAAUACACCUUGUUCAAUAACAGGACAAACUGGGACAUCUGUACAUAGCUCUAGUGCUGCAGCAGGAACAUUCCCUAGUGCUUCACCAGGGCAGAAUUUAAACUAAAGGGGAAACACAAUGACGGUAAGUCAAUAAGGAAACAGUGUCGUCCUUUCAUAAGGAUGUCAGUCAAUGUUCAUCUACUUCAGGUAAAAAUAGAAACUCUCCCACAAUGACCUAGAUUUUCUGGUUCACAUUUCUAGCUCAGUCUAAACUUGCAUCAUUCAACACUAAACUUUCCAGAGACUCUAAAACCUUCCUUAUAAACACAUCAUAGCAGAUUUACUGUUGGACCAACUGUAUUAUGUGCGUCUCUUAGAAACACCCAAUAAAAAAUUAUAAAUACUUCAAAGAGGUUUUAAGUACUGAUGAAAUAAAUGGACCCAGGGCAUUGGAAAGAGCUAGAUAUGGUACAGGCAAGGAACAGCCAAGUUUCCUCACAUAGUUAUGUCUCUAAGGCCUGACCUGCAGCAACCAUUUUUCUCAAGGGCUGGUUUCUUUCCUUUCACCAUGGCAGAUGUCUGCAUGUGCCAGGCAACUGUCCCCAAAACAUCAUCCCCAAAACACCUGCCAUCAAAAAAGGAGCAGGGAGGUGGCAUGGCCUGGAUAAAUGAAAUACAUGCUAUGUGCAUAUACAUACCUACCUAUGCACACAUACUGGGCUAGCCUCACGGCUUUUAAUAGCUGAGAGAGAAAGAAACUUGGUGGAACAGGCACAGACUGUGGAAAGGACCACGUGACAAAAUCAAGUGUGUGGUAUGAAGCCAGGGCAGACAGCAGUUAAGAGCAGAAAGAAAUGAGACAUCUGUGGCCUCUCAAGAGGACAGACACAUUCAGACACUUCAUGGAAUAAAUGAAAUGGUCAGUGGUAUCAGAUGGCAAUGCCAACUACAAGAUAUAACAGCACUUAACCUGUGGCGCCAGCUGGGGAUUGAUGAAAAAACGGACUGCACAGACAAGUGGGAGAUUGCUCAGAUGGAGCUGCUCUCCAAAUGAUCAAUAGGGGAGUGAAAACAAGAUUGGUUAGCCUUGCCUCAAAAUCAGAGAAGCAGCAAACAAACAGGCUAAAAUUUUUAGCUGUCACAGGAAAGCUAGGGAGAAUGAGGACUUCUUUGCAAAAAAUCUCCUCUUCUUGGUAUCCCAUUUCUCUUGCUCUUGUUAAUGCAGCUAAACAUUCUUUGAAGUUGAAAUAAUUUCCUUCAUCCAGCUUUCCUCUCCCCCUGACCUUGUUCUCAUCCUGGCUGAAUUAAUUACUUAAAUUAAUUAAAAACAUACUUGUCUGAGUAAAAGCUCUUUUAUACAAUGUGUUAAGAAGAAAUAUUACAUUGUUGUAUUAGUUUCAAGUUUAAGAGAUUUUACCUUUCCGACUAUGCAGAUCUUCCCGGUUGAGAAGACUGAUUUUCUGUGCUUGCAGGGAUACCUUCAGCAUGUAAUUGUAAUCAAAUUUCAUUCACUCCUCCUUCAGGAAAAGACCUUUCUCUUCCUAACUCUCCUCUUAUUUCAAUGAAUAUUUUUUAAAUGCAAACAAUACUUGAUUGUUUUUCAAACUAUUUACAUUCUUCCCUUUCAAACCUUUAGUCCUUGUCCAGUAGGAUUUCUUUGUACUCUCAAUUCCUGGGAUAUUUCCUCUGUAUCUGCCUGUUCCAGACUGAACUGGCUUUUGGGGGUUUUAUGAACUUCUACACCUAUUCCUAGCAAUACUGGCUUCACUGUCUCUGCUUACUGAUCUUAUCAUAAGCCAUUUACCAUUUCCAUUUUAUCCUUCAAUUAGAGCCUUCUUCAAACCCAUUCUUUCACAUUCCUUCCCUAGGCUGUAUAAAAGAGAGGUCUUUAAUCUCCCCUUUCCUCUAAUUGAAGCUGUCCUUCCCAGCGUGUUUUCCACUGCAAUGCUCUGUUUUUCAUUAAGCCAUGACAGCAAUACUCCAGUUGCUGUUGCUUUCUCUUUAAUGUGGUUUUGUAAGAAAAAUAGCAACUUCUUGUCUUUUCACAGAACAUGGAAAGAAAGUUUUAAAUUAUUAGCCUCAUAAAAUACAGCAUUGCAGUACUGAUGCCACAUAAGUGCUAGGGUAAGGAAAAAUAAUCUUCUGUUUCUAAGUCCCAAACAGGCAAUGUAUUACCAAGAGUUGCUGCCUGAUUAGGCUAUGAAACAUCAAUACCUUCCACUGUAAAUGGAAUGACUGCAGGUCAACCCUGCUAGGUAAGAAAAAUGAAAAGAUAGAGUUGGGAAUAAAAUGAGAAAAGGUUCCUUGAGUCAUAUAAUUGUUCUAUCCAGGGGCACACUUAAACAGUCACAAAGUCCUGGUCCAGAUCUGCAUAGAUGGAAGAGCUGAGACAGUCAAGUCCCAGCAAUAACCCAGUGUAAAUUGAGAGCAGAUGUUAAUCAUUCAGACUUUCUUCUCCACUGGAAAUGCACUGACUAGCAGCCACAGACAUCUGAUCAGAUCAAAAUAAGACAAGUAGUGGUUGUUUCCAUAAGCAGGAAGCUUUAGCCUACAGCUAACAACAGAGCUCUGCUAUUAUCCACCAGCCACAAAGCUAACAGUUUCUCAGACAGGUCUCACAAGCAGUGAGCAAGAUAACAGAGCAAGUUCCUAGCCUGACUUGUGUCAAAUGUGCAAUAAUGCCAGUGCUUUUGUGCUGUGGUGUUUCUUAUGAUCACACUUGCAGGCUGCUAUGUUUGCUCUGAGACAAGUGAUGAAAAUGAAAAGACAUUCUCAAUGUGUGCUGUAAAUCGCAUACAGCUGUUGGAGUAGGAUAAUACCUGCUUUUCUCAUAGCUUGUUUUUAGUUAAAAAGAAAAAACAAGCAAUUAUUAUUUCUAAGUGGGAAGGAAGGAGAAAGCAAAUUGAGGAAUGAAAAGCAAUUAAAAGCUUCUCAAGAAAUUUUCUCCUGUUUGUUCUUGCCUUCUUCCAGGAUGAGACUUCACAGCCAGAGCUUAAAGAUCAGCUUGAAUUGGAAGCAAGAGUGUGUUUAUGUUCAGUUUAAUCAAGCUCAGGGUUACAGUGAGAUGUGAUACAAAACCAGCUGUUUCUGACUCAUAUGAUUCAAAGUGACUCCAAAAGCUUCAGGGUGUCUGUGAGGUGUUUCCAAGCCCAACACGGGUGAGAGCAGGGUAUUUCCGACUACUAGGACAUGUCAUGGAAACCGGGUUACAGCCCCUUCAAAAACAGGGGCUCUCAGGCAUGUAAAGGAUUAACCAUCUUCCCAGGUAUUAUUCCUUUGACCAAUUUCCUUCUUUGUUGGCCUAUAAAUACUUAGACUUUUUCAGUUUUAAAAUGUGAUGAGUAACUUCCUUACCUGCCAACCAAAAAAGGGCCUGCUAACUCCAAUGGCCAGUGGGAGCCCAUUUCUCCACAGAGGCCCUUCUUUUCAGUGUAUGGGGUCAGAUGAGGCGUGUUUGUCUGGGUAACACCUGGGAGUGGAAACCCAGACUGGCUCCCAAGUGCCACACAUCAUGGAUUUAGGUUCUACUUUGGGUAUGUCAGUGGCUCUGACCAAAAUAAGGACAGUGUUGUACUGUGUUCAGACAUCUAUAGUGGGUGCUAAAUCCAGAUGAGCCAGAAGUCCUACAUCCAGAUGAGCCAGCAGUCAAGCAACAGGCAUGGGAAGUGGGAUCCAAAAGUGUGAGCUGGAUACAGCUCUACUCUUGUGAUUUUUUUGUUGGGUUUUCUGUUUGGCUUUUUUUCCCAUGAACAAAGGUUAGGAUUCUAACAUCAAAGCACUGGCACAAAAUGGAUAAUCAUGAUGACACUGAAAGCUACUUCAGUCAUGGCCAAUUCAGGAGCCUGCUGACCACAGCAUCCGUCCUUGUGACCUUCUCCUCUUCAGUUCCUCCUAACGUGCACCCUAGAGUAUAACAGCACAUCUAAUGAGACAUCAGCCCAGGAUUUUUGAAUUAAUAGAGCUGAUUGAAAUUCAGAAUUUCUGUGCUAUAAGGAGGUUCUGAUAUUGCAAGUUAAUUCUUGCUGUCAAUCAAAGUUUGAAACAAAGUAUGUUCAUCAUGUUUUGAAAGUAUUUUAAGGAUUUUUUUUGGACUGUGUAGAUUUUUUAUAUUAAUUAUAUUUAUCACAUUAUUUAUAUGAAUGAGAGCUUUUUACCUUGACUUUAAAAGAUUAAAAUUUUAAAUAUUUAGAAAAUUAAAACUGUUAGAAGGAGUGUCAGUUCUAAAUAGUAAACACAAAAGUUACAUUUGGGAAGUCAAGAAAGGAAAAGUUCACCAUUAUUGGAAUAUCUCACUGACUUAUUUUAAAGUGAUAUUUCACAUAACAGGCAUUAAAAAAACAAACAAACAAACCCACCAAACCCACAAAAAAAAGCCUAAUUAUGAAGCAGUAUUUUCUGAUUGCCAAAUGCUAUGGCAGAAAUUUUUUGUUCCACUUCAAAAAGAGUGCUGAUGAUGUGCUUCUGUGAGUAGGUCCCCUCGAAACAUAAUUUAGAACCAGAGACAUUAACAGAGAAGGCUUUUACAGAAAGAGUGCUGGUCUGAGGAGGGUUUCAAGAUUCUGAGCUUGCUGCUCUGGUUCUUGAUUCAGCUUUUUCUAAGGUUUUUUUUGCAUUUGGCAGGCAGGUCUUGCCUGGGUUUUUUCAUGGUCAUGUCCAUUGACCUUUCUGAAAGAAAACUAUGUAGAGCAAGUAGAGCAACACCCCCAGUUGCUUUCUUUAAAAGAAGUGUCCACUAUAGGAAGUCUCAAAUGUAGUAUUGGCGACCAAAUUUUUAUAAAUAAGGCUCUUCACUGUUCACUGUGCACUGUCAAGUAACAGGUUUAAGUCAUGCUGGAUGGUAAGUGCUGCACAAGGAUUAAUCUAGUUACAAAAUCUGAUCAUUCUGGUUUGUGUCUGGAAAUUUCUCAAAGAAAAGACAGACCACUUUGCCUUUUGUUCCCAGUCACCACUACUUUAUCACGAUGUUUCCAGAUCACUAUUUUAGAUGCUAAAGGAUUUUGUGGGCUAUAAAAGUAGCUUUGUAAUGCACUGUGAUUUUUUUUUUAAAAAAAGGGGGUUUUAUCAAAAGAUCUAGUUUCUUGUAAGUUAUUGCUAGAUUUUAUUCUAAAGAUAUUCAUUAAAAUUUUUCUUGAUUGUUAUAAUUUAAAAGUAUUAUAAACUGUGGAAUGAUGAAAUUUAAAUAAACCAGCCUAUUACUAUUAGUCAUCUUCUAGCCUUUAAGUACAGAGCAGAUUUCAAAUACCUGAGUAAUUAAGCCAGUGGCAGUUUUACUAAGGAACUUCAGUUGUGACUGCUUCAUUCUUAAGGCGCAAAUUUUGCUCAAGCCAAAGUAGCCAUUCCAUGUUCACAAAAAAGUGCCACAAUAUCCUCUCUCCUGCUUAGUGGAAUCUAUAUAAACUGCUGCAUUUUCUAACCACAGCAAAGAAUCCCUGAGGCUGGGAGGUGACUCUCUUCCAUCCUCUUCCCGUAAGCAAUGUGCUGCAUUAGAAACAUUCCCCUGAGACAAAGUCUGUUUUGUUCUGCCAUCGCUGGUAGUUGGGCUGUGCAGUCUUCAUGCAGGCAUCAUCUGCACCUUCUGUCCUUUUAUUUUCUACUGGAGUCAUUUUCCUUCCCAGCCUGGGCUACUCUGGGGAGAUGGCAGCUGGGGAAAAAAAAUCUCUUGCCAGGUUUCUGCAAAUAUGAAAAUUAAAUAAGAGCAUAAUGAAUAAUGCAAAUUUUAGCUGGAGUCAAUGAGCAAACAAUGCAGUUCAGGAAGCAGGCAGAGAGCAAUGGGGGCUGUUAACACCUUGGUAGUGGUUGUUUCCUCUGCACUGACCAAGAAAAUGUCCUUUUCCAUGAAACAACUGAAAUGGCAAUACAGUUGGGGUGGGAGGUGUUCAUUGAGAGUCCAAACCAGGCUCUGCGAUUUCACUUAAGGUUCUGUACCACAAGGGCAAUUGAGCAAUAGUUAACUGAAAGUGUAGAUUAGUGCAUGCCACAUAAGGCAUGUUACAGGACACCUGGAAUCAAUUCAGUGUUAAGCCACGGUUCAUGUGCUGUGACAUUUUUAUUUCCAGGUGCCUAAAUUUGGACUUUUGAUCACUCUUUAAUUUUUCAAAUUUUCACCGUUUGUUAUGUUGCAAAAGUGUCUGUGACUGAUGGCAGGAUAAGGUCAAAAGGUAUAUCAAGCUUUUUUAUUUGGAGGAAUGCACUCUCUGAUGCGAGUGGCCUCAAGCACCACUCUUAGUCUUAUCAUGAAUUACAUUUUAUUCAGUGUCUCAUAGUAUGCUUCGGUUCCUUCAGACAGUGGUUAGAGACAUUUAACAGCUUUCAGUGUCAUCAUGAUUAUCCAUUUUGUGCCAGUGCUUUGAUGUUAGAAUCCUAACCUUUGUUCAUGGGGAAAAAAACCAAACAGAAAACCCAACAAAAAAAUCACAAGAGUAGAGCUGUAUCCAGCUCACACUUUUGGAUCCCACUUCCCAUGCCUGUUGCUUGACUGCAUAAAAACAUGCUCCACGCUUUGGUGAGCAAGCAUGCCACACCUAACAUAGCUUAAAUAAGAACUCCUUCUUCCUUUCAACUUUGUUUCCCUUGCAGAAUACAGAAACCCUCCUCCUUUGUACGCCAGGAACUGCAGUCCACAGCUGAGCUCUCAUGAAAAGCUUCAGAUGCCUGGUCAGGACUAUGUGAAGAGUUUAAUGAUCAGGAGACCCAAAUGGUAGGGUAACAAGGUGCACUGCAAAAAGGUGUUGUAUAUCAUACACACUAUAUCUUCCCGCUUUGUUACUUCUCUUAUGGCCAAAGAUGUCAAAUACUAGGCCCAUUUUUAAACACUCAUCUGUCUCCAUAUGAAAAGUGCAUCUUCCACAUUACUUUACAAAUCAAAAAUAACUUUAUAUACAUCCUUGUUCUUACUGUACCAUGUGUUUGUUUUUGAACUAAAACACCCACCCUGUCAAGCUAUUUUUUGGGCUAUAUGUGCUGACAUGUGCUGAAGUGAGAAGCAUCCUCUGUUUAUUCAGUCUUAUCCAGAUCCUUGUACCACAUUUGUAACAAAUCAUAAAGCACAGGCUGAAACAUGAAAAUGUUGUAACAGGGGUGUCAUGGUUUGGUGUCACCUUCAAAUCCACUUUUAUCUGUUUCUCAUCUUCCCUUUGCUACUCAGAGUAACCAUUUCAGGGCUAUGCUUGAUUCUUGACAACCUGCUCUGGGUUUUGCUGUCUCCCAGUUUAAUAAAUUUAUCACAUCUCCUAUGCUUAGCAUUGCUUUUCCACACAAGAACCUUAACAACAUUUAUAUAUUUUUACUGAAAUUUUCUCUGAAGUUGAACUCUUUCUCUGACAUGGGAUCAGGAAAGUAACACUUGAUCUUUAAAACCAGCUGGAUAAAAAAAAUUAAAAUUAAAAAGAAAAAUCUAUCUGGCAAAAUAAAACAUUACAGUCAGAAAAUGCAAUGGAGGAGGUAAUCACUGUGCCUAUAUAAUGGAUAGUAAUACACAAGAAACAGACACAACUUCUCUAUUAAAGUAGUCUGAUGGUAUUUUCAGAGUUCUAGAACAAAUUUUCAUUAUUUAAAUGGAGAAGGAUGGCUAACAUGUAGUAUACGUUUAUCUUUAGGAAAUGUGCUACCAGGAAAUAGAAACACAAGAUCCAAGGUGAUUUUCCCUCUAGUUGCAUUAUACACAUAUCAAAAUAAAGAAUAACCCAGGUAACACUACAUCACACACAGAGAAAGGCUGGAUUUUAGCUAUUUAUGUUCAUAUGACUACUAAUUGGCAGGGUGAUGGUGAAUGCGUUCCAUUGGGGAAGCUGGCAGAAACUGUUUGAAUAUUCCAUUUAUUCUCCUUUCUCUGACAAUGAACAAGGAAAAAGAAAUAUAGAAGCAUACACCAUAAAAACACACUAAGAAAAUUAGUUCGGGAAAGUUCGUUUAUUUGUGAUAGGAUAAUUUGAUUAAGGACAAUUAAAUUUUAAUGCCCAUUUAAGUCAAGUUAUGUGGUCCACCGACUCAUCAGAUUGAGUGAUAGCCAAUGCCAAAGUUUCAUUUAUCACCACGUUUUCACUUGUGAGGAGCCAGAGAAACUGGCUAUUUAAUCCUUAAAUUAAAUGGCUGUUUGAAAGGUAAUCUCAGAUUAGGUAAACCCUGCGUGUGUUUAUUUUUGCUCUCUGAGUGGGUCUGCUGGUUUUAACAGUACUGCUCACAUACAUCAAGUUGGUCAUACUUUGCAAGAAUGAGCCCCAUCCCCACUUCUCUCCAUCAGACCAAAGACCAGACCUCUGCAGCAGAAGAAUGUGAUGUACCAGCCAAUUUACUGCUUCCUAUCAUCAUAGCACAAAUUUAGUUGUACUUCCCCAAGCAUGAUGGUCCAAUGCCAAACUUCCCUUGAGAUAUCCCCUGGAAAGAAGAAAGGGGAAGAACAAAGACACAGGCAGGAUACAAAAAGCUUGGGAGACACGGUCUGGCCAUUUCUGCUGCUGCUGAGACUUUGGCUGUGUAGGAAAACCCCCUCUCCUACUGGGCAGUAGGACUUUCCUACUCCACUGCUGCCCCAUGCUUCUUGGCUCAUCUUCCAAUGCAAUCUGGGUUCAGUUCUGUGGGGCUGAGGUGGUUUUGCUGCAGUUCCCACCCUUCUGAUGCCAAAAACAGCUGGCUGCCUGCACCUCCAGUGUCUUCAUAUCAAAGUGCGUCUUGCUGACUUAACACAUGCAGUAAAGAGCAGCCAGGCCUUUUUGUCUAGCAGCAGACACAGAUCCAGACAUGUCAGUGCUAUUAUGCAUGUCCAUAUUAUCAAUCUGUGCAUCCCUGUCAAUCUGGCCCUACUGGAUUAACUGUGUCUGUGUGGCACAGCAGCAGCUUUGCUAUGUCCUAGUUCUGGAGCAGCCAUGCAUGCAUGAUCUGGUUACCAGACAUAUUAAUUGUAUCUGGAGGUGGCCAUUUUAUUUGCUUUUUAAAUAAGACAGCUGAUCACAGAUGGAUUAUCUUUAUCCUUGUGCAUAAUAGCAUGACCUUUCCGGACUGCUAUCUAAAUAUUUAGUCUUUUUUUUUCGGCACACAGUCAUUUCCUGUGCUUCAAACAAAGAGUUUAUUAAACACAAACACAUUUGAGAUGAAUGCUCAAGUAAGAGUAAACUCAUCAUUCUCUUCAGUGAACAAACACAGUGGAAACCUGAUGAGAGCAAAAACUGUUGUAGUCUGAGAUGCAUUCAUUACUGGCUGAACAUAUGCUGCAAUUGUUACUACCAUUUAUCACUGCCUGGUGGCAAAGCAAGAUUCAUGACUAAGCAGUGCUGGUGAUCUCAUAGCAUCCUUCUCUUUUCAUAGUCACAGCCUUCUUACAGCUGUCAAAAUUUCAAGCUCUCACAUCAUGUAGGUUUGAAAACCUGGAAUGUACUUGGAAAGUUAAAAAUCGUGGAGAUGUUUGCAGGUCUUCUCAGGUCAUAGGAGCCCACUCUGUCCGCUGGGUGCUCCUUUCACAGUCCCAUUUGAUAACCCCAUUGUUAAAUGUAGAAUAGCAAAUGCACAACAGUGAUGAACAAUCCAUUCUGGCAUUGAAGUAAAGCACCAUUUCAAGAAUAUUGUUUCAAAGGUACCUUAGGGCCAGAUCUCUUUGGACUGAACAGAUGUUAAAAGAUUUGGCUGGUUCUCCAGCUGUGAACCCCUUGCAAAUGCAUCAUUUAAUAAGAAAUUUUUCCAUUUUAAUCUAAGACAGAUGGUGUGCCAAAAGGGACUGUGUCAGUCUGGCCUAAUGACACGAAUAAAGGGGUAAUUAUUUUCUUCUGUGCUUUUCCAGUGUUUCAAUGCAUUUGAAACUGUUGCUGUAUUUGCUGGUUCUCUUUAGUGUAUGAUAUGAAAUCCCUCAGCAAUGGAGAGUAAUUCAGGCUGCAUAUGGCAGUGGCAGAAAACUAAGACACAUUGAGAAACUGGAAAUGAAAGAAGUGUUCCAUUUCUUUUGAUGAAAGUUUAGCAGGGAAAGAAACCAGACAUUUUCAGAGGAAAUGGGAUACUGCUUUUCAAUCUGUUCUUUACUGAGUAAAGGCUGAAAAAUUGUUUACUUUCACAAAGGUCAUUGUUGUUCAGGUCAUGAAGCAGGAGAGCUUCAAAAGUGAAGAGGAGCUAAAUUCAAAUUGCUCAGAGAAGCAAAAACACAGCAAAACUUGGAGUCUGGAAAACUUCAGACAAAACCAGAUAAAAACAAAAAAACCCACAAAAACAUUAUGGUGCACAGCAAUGCAACUAAGACAGAAAUACUUUUGUGAAUAAUGGCUUAUAGCUGGGGGAAGACAGGAUGAUACAACAUACACUGUACAGUGCACUCGUAGAGUGGUAAAAGUGGGAUCAGUUAUUCUGAGAUUUCUUUCAUGUCAUAAAACUCAGAAUCAUGUCAGAAGAUUUAAUAGACUUGUAUGUUGACAAGAAAGCAACAUUCCAGUUCCAGUAUCAAGAGCAGGAGAUUUGUUUCCUAGAGGUGUAUUGGACAAGUCAAGAACAUGUGAAAGAUCACAAGUGAGGAGGAGACUACAUCUCCACAGCAGUGUUAGAGAGCGAGGAAAGAAGCAGAUUAUGCCUUGUGCUGACUCCAUAGGAGUGUGGCACACACUGAGCCAGGCUGAGGAGAAGAGGAAAGUGCAGAUGGGGAAGGUGGGAGAUUUGCAGACAUGUGAGUGUAGCUGUGGAUGUGGAGGAAAGGUGAGAAAGCUGCAAAGGAUCAAGAUGAAGAGGGCAGAGAUGAAAUUCUGAAGAAGGAAGGAACCUGGUUCUGUUGAUUUCCUUGGGGUGACUAUACUGACAAAAGACAUUUCUCUGUCCCCACAUGACCUUUGUAAUUUAUCCCUAAUCUGUGUUGUACCUUUGAAAAUGCCAACUUCAGAAGGUCUUAAGCAUGGCCCUUUUUUAAAGUAUUUGUUUCCACAAAUUGAACAAUUGUUCAAUUUUGUAUAAUUGAAGGGUUUUUUCCCCUGAAUAAAUACAUUGGUGCUAUAUAUCUUUCUGUUUAUCAUCCACAGCUUUGCAUAUGUAAGAAACCACAGACAUCUUCCCUUGGGUGGGAAAAUCAGUCAAGUUUGUAUUAGCUGGAGUAAAAAAAAGGCAAAAAAAAGCAGUUUACCAAUGAUUAGGCAAAAAUCUGAUUUCAUUUCAACUUAAAGCACAAACAGGCAGGUAACCCUUUAAACUGAGUUGUACAGAAGGUCUCCUGCUCUCACAGAAAUCACUCUGUAGAGCAGGGAUAACAGUUUAUCAUGAAGGCUCAUGGACCAUCACCAGUUGUGUCUUCUAAAGCAGCCCCAAGAACUGGUAAUUCAUCACACUGAAUUCCAGGUUUCUUGCAGGAGUUCACAGCCAUCACCCCUGUUGUGUCCUUUUUUUCCUCUAAGGCUACUCAGCCACACACAUCCAGUUCCAAACCUCCAUGAGGAUGGAUCCUACAGUCCUUUAAAGCAAAACUCAAGAGAAGUUAGCAGGGUGCAUCUCACCCCAGGUAAGCAGGAAUAUGCUAAGAUACAUUCUGCUACCUCAUGGAUAUGCUGGCACAGUCACAGAGAUCUGUCCAAAGUGGUUCCUACAGUCAGACUAUGUAGAUCAAGAUCAAGAUGUGGGUUAUUUUUACUAGCCAGAUAUUAUACCCUCUGUCAUCACUUUCAUGCCCUUCUGUCUCCUUUCUCCUCCUACACUUGCUCUUAAAAUUGCAUUGCCAGCUGAAGUUACCUUUAUGUUAGAAGUAUCAAUGAAGUUAGAACCAUGACAGUGAUUCAUAUAAGAGCAGUACUCCCCAGCUACUUGAAAAAAAUCAUAGAACUACAUUUCUUAAGAUAAAUGUUCCUUAAAAAAUGCAACAUACCAAUUUUUCUCACAUUAAAAAAAAAAACCAGCUCGUUUCUGUUUCUACUGUAAUUUGUCAUCUUUUAUUUGCUAUCAUCAUACAACAGCACACUUUCUGGUAUAGCAUCAUUUUGUAUACAAAUGUUCUAUGUCAACAACCCCUGAAAGCAGCAUUUUUUAAUUUCAGUGUGAAUGUUACUUCAAAGUUAUCACAAUGUCACAUCAACAGACUACUGAAGAUCCAGCAAAAAUUAUCAUACCAUGCAAUUUAGCUCUGCUUUCUUACUUAAAUUGCCAUCCUAUUCACAAAGUGAAAAUGUCCUAAAUAAUAGCAGAAUAAAGAAAGCAGAACAAUUUCUGAAGUAGAAUAAUUUAUCAGGACAUUAAUUUAGAGCAGACACUAAAUGUGAGAACAAUGUGUAGCAAACACUAUGAAAGUUGGGUUUAUUCAGAGCCUUGCAAAACCUUAGAAGAGAAUAGCUUUCAAAAACAGACAGUGGCAUGCGCAUAAAGGAAUCUUUUUACUUGAAUACAUAUAUAUCUUGAUAAAUAUUUAUAUAAGAUUAUGAAAUCAGACAAAACACAAUGCAGAGGGUUUUCAUAAUUAUUAGAGUGGUGAUAAUCUUUCUAGGAAGGUAAAAUGCCAUUUGAAAAUGGUAUCAUUACUUUAUAUAUGGAGUAUGGGCUUAAUAUUAACUGACUUCAACUGGAGCCAAACUAGAGCAAUGCUGAUACUGUGGCACUUUCCAAAGAUAGAAGACAAUUUUACCAGUUUAGAGACAGCACUGACAAUCAUAAAACCUUGCUGCAGCCCUCAGCUUUACCAAUGAAAUCAGUCAUGGCCACAAGAAAGUUAUUUAAUUCCUUUGUACUGGAAUUCAUUCCACGAGCCGGCGGUGCACUACUAGCCUCCCUUCUGGGGUCUUUCAUGAUUUGGUACUAGACCAAAGAGGUCUUACAAUGAAGUAUUUUGCUUGAUGCACUCAGAUUUUACUGACAAAUUGAUACAAUUUUUUAUUUGCUUCAUCCAGGUUUGUUCAUAAAUUUCUGUGCUAUAAUUAUUUCCCUUCUCCUUUCUCUCUUCUCUUUCAAUUAGUUCAAAACGAAUUUUAGUGACAUUGCCUUCAGUGGAAAUAGGAUCAGAAACUUUCAUAGAAAUUUCUGGCACUACUGUGGAAAUGUUGGAAACUACCACGAAAAAUUAUUCUUGGAGGACAUAGGAAGCAGAAAGUGUUAUUCGUUUUAAAAGUCAUACAAUUUGUAAGCUGUGUGGCUGGUUCCGGUAGCAAGAAGAGUGAUUCCUUAAUAAACCUAAUGGAUGCUGUCAAA